rnacentral:lncRNA from 1 species
AAGAUUCCCAUUGUUCUUGUCCUCGUCUUUGUAUAUGAGAUUAAAAUCCCCACAUACCAUCCAUGGGCCAUUGCAGCCUGCAUGCACAUCACGGAGCUCUUGCAUGAACGCUAUUUUUGCGCGUCGUCCUGUGGUCCGUAUACCACGGUGAUCCGCCAUGGCGUCCCUGUCGCGGUAGAGAGCUUGGCGGAGACAGCGUUUGUGGUGAACAAAGGGGCUGUGAUGGACACCACUUUGUUUUUCCACGCUAGGAGGAUUCCUCCUCUCGACCCAUCGGCGGGUAAGUACGUGUAAUCAUCGAACUCUGAUCCCAACGCCUCGAGGACGGUCGACGAGCAGAUCAAUGCCAUCUUCGUUUCUUGCAGACAUACAAC